rnacentral:rRNA from 1 species
GCCUAGCCGUAAACUUUAAUUUACCCCCUCCACCCGCCAGGGUACUACGAGCAAAGCUUAAAACCCAAAGGACUUGACGGUACCCCACAUCCACCUAGAGGAGCCUGUCCUAUAAUCGAUAACCCCCGCUUUACCUCACCAUUUUUAGCUUAUUCAGUCUGUAUACCUCCGUCGUCAGCUUACCUCGUGAGCGCUAACUAGUGAGCCCAACGCCUUUACGCCAACACGUCAGGUCAAGGUGCAGCAUAUGAAAUGGAAAGAGAUGGGCUACACUGUCUAAUCUAGACAACACGAAAGACUAUUUAUGAAAUCUAGUCAGAAGGAGGAUUUAGAAGUAAAAAAAGACCAUUGUGCUUUCUUUAACUUGGCACUGGGGUGUGUACACACCGCCCGUCACCCUCUUCAAAGCUCUAAUAUAGUCUCUAACACAAUAUACUAAACUAGAAGAGGUAAGUCGUAACAAGGUAAGUAUACCGGAAGGUGUGCUUGGAAA